rnacentral:piRNA from 1 species
UGGAAGAUCCUGGAUUUUAAC